GACCUUUGGUGAUCCAAUUCAUCCAUACUAAUAAGCAAAAAUGACUUUAUAUAAACUAACAAUUGUGCUUGGUUGUUUUUUAUUGUUGAAGGCGUGUUGAAUCUUCUUCUCUUGUGUUCUACUGUACUGACGUCAAUUUACUUUUCCUUCAGUCUGAGGUUUAUUCAUUACACUUUUUGGUGUGAAAGGACUUUAACAUUAGCUAUAAAUAGAACUUCUUAUAUAAAAAAAAAAAUCAAGCCCUGCCCAUAUUUAAAAAGUAACACGAAAGUAACAUAACACAUUACUUUCCAUAAAAAGUGACUAAGUAACGUAAUUAGUUAGUUUUUUUAGGGAGUAACACAAUAUUGUAAUUCAUUACUUUUAAACGUAACUUUCCCCAACACUGCUUAUGAAGACCUCCUUUUAAUGGUUCAUGGGUGAAUAGUGUGUUUGAUGCCAUGCUUCCAGAAUUUAUGAAUUUAUAAGUAUAAGUUUGUGAAUUUUUUUUGCAAUUUAAUUACAAAUCCCAGCUUCCCAGAAUCAAUCCCAAGAUCAGUCUUUUGCAACAAGUGUAGCCUAAUUCCAGAAAUCUUUUUAACAAAUCAAAAACAUACUGUGGAACAAAUUCAGCUUUAUUCCCGAAACAAAAGAACACAUUGCAACAAUAUAUAGUGUGUCAGCUUGUUUCCUAAAAUGAAUGGCUCUUAUGAGCCAAUUUCUUUUUAAAGGAAUAGCUCAAAAAAUUGGACUGAAUCAAUAUAACUGAAAAAAAAAAGAAAAAAUUAAUCAUAAUAAAUCAGUUGCAUUGCAUAAUUUUUAUUCUGUUUUACAAAAUCAGCAGGGUCCAGUGGGGACCAAAGGUCUGAGACCAUUUGUGAAAAUGCUUAAGAUUGAAAUACUUCUUGUUUAUUUUGUAUGUCGCUUUAUUUUAUUUUUGCUUUCAACACCAAUAAAUUCUUUUCACAAAGGUCUCAUUAAAA